CUGUCCAUUACACCCAUGUACCUCCCAGGGACAUGCUUUGGAAAGAAUAAACCAGGAAAUCAGAGCCCAAGAACUGGCUCUCUGCUUGGAUCCUUCAGUCUCCAGGACCUCAAGGGACAACCAACAACUGAGUCCUUAAAGUUAACUCUGCCCUUGACCCGAGGUCAAGGUGAAAGUCUGCCCCUUCUGAGUAAGCCCUUGGAGAUUGUGGGCUAGAGUAACAGAAGGCAGGAGCUGGAGGAUACCAUCUGGUUCAUCUGCUUCACUUUACAGAAGAGGAAAGUUUGUACCUGAGAAGGUUCCUUUUUAGGAGGAAGAGGCAAAUAUCAUCAGCUGACAGGAUGGAACCAGUGUAAAACCCAGCUUCCAGGGCACAUUCUAAGAUGGUAACAGAUGCGAACAGGGACCAUACCUUAUCCUUCUUUAGAAGCCACAUUGGAGUUCACACAGUGCUUUGCACACAAAAUCAAGAGUCCAGGGUCAGAAGGGGCCCACUGGCCAUCUAGUCCUCUCCUAGAUGGAUAGGAGCCCUCUCUAAAAUACCCUUACAAAUAAAUGCUCAUUCAGCAGUUGUCUGAAGCCCUCCCCUGAGGGGAGGCUUGCUAAAUCAUGAGGCAGCUCUUUCCAGUUUUGGACAGCUCCAACUUCCAUCCACUACUCCUAUUUUUCUGCCCUUAUGGGGCCAGAUAGAUCAAGUGUAAUCCCUUUUCCAUGCACACACUGAGGCUCAUUUAUCUCCAUCAGAGUCUAGGGCAGUACCUAACAUAUAGUAGGUAUACAACAACACUAUUUGUUGAAUUGGACUUUUCUAGUGUCAUUUCUCCCAGUAGUUAACCAGGCAACAACUUGUUAAUGAAUCAAUAGAUCAAUAAACCUUAUUAAUUAGUAGCAGUAGCAGUAGCAGUAGUAGUAAUCACCUCCUGGUUUCAGAAAGACCGGGAUUCAAGUCACUCUGUUGACCCAUAUUGGCUCUGUGACCUUGGGAACAUUACUUAACCUCUCAGUGCCCCCAGGCAGCUCUAGGUCUCAGAAAGUCUUAGAGUCCAAGACCAUAAAUUGCAGAAAUCAUGUGCAUGAAGGAUGUACUUUCCUUAUCAGAAAUUCCCU